GACGAACCGUGCGAACGUUGUUCGGAAUCACUGGGCUUAAAGGGCGCGUAGGCGGGUCGAAAAGUCCGUGGUGAAAUCCCCCCGCUCAACGGGGGAACGGCCGCGGAUACUGUCGGCCUCGAGGGGGGUAGGGGCGAGCGGAACGCUGGGUGGAGCGGUGAAAUGCGUUGAUAUCCAGCGGAACUCCGGUGGCGAAGGCGGCUCGCUGGGCCCUCUCUGACGCUGAGGUGCGAAAGCGUGGGGAGCAAACAGG
rnacentral:rRNA from 1 species